GAGUUGGCCGGGCAGCUACACAUGCAAGUCGAACGGGCUCUUCGGAGCUAGUGGCGGACGGGUGAGUAACACGUGGGAACGUGCCUUUAGGUUCGGAAUAAGCCCGGGAAACUGGGUCUAAUACCGGAUGUGCCCUUCGGGGGAAAGAUUUAUCGCCUUUAGAGCGGCCCGCGUCUGAUUAGCUAGUUGGUGGUGUAAUGGACCACCAAGGCGACGAUCAGUAGCUGGUCUGAGAGGAUGAUCAGCCACAUUGGGACUGAGACACGGCCCAAACUCCUACGGGAGGCAGCAGUGGGGAAUCUUGCGCAAUGGGCGAAAGCCUGACGCAGCCAUGCCGCGUGAAUGAUGAAGGUCUUAGGAUUGUAAAAUUCUUUCACCGGGGACGAUAAUGACGGUACCCGGAGAAGAAGCCCCGGCUAACUUCGUGCCAGCAGCCGCGGUAAUACGAAGGGGGCUAGCGUUGCUCGGAAUUACUGGGCGUAAAGGGAGCGUAGGCGGACAUUUAAGUCAGGGGUGAAAUCCCGGGGCUCAACCUCGGAACUGCCUUUGAUACUGGGUGUCUUGAGUGUGAUAGAGGUAUGUGGAACUCCGAGUGUAGAGGUGAAAUUCGUAGAUAUUCGGAAGAACACCAGUGGCGAAGGCGACAUACUGGAUCAUUACUGACGCUGAGGCUCGAAAGCGUGGGGAGCAAACAGGGAUUAGAUACCCUGGUAGUCCACGCCGUAAACGAUGAUUGCUAGUUGUCGGGGUGUUUACACCUCGGUGACGCAGCUAACGCAUUAAGGCAAUCCGCCUGGGGAGUACGGUCGCAAGAUUAAAACUCAAAGGAAGUUGACGGGGGCCCGCACAAGCGGUGGGAGCAUGGUGGUUUAAAUUCGAAGGCAACGCGCAGAACCCUUUACCACCUUUUGACAUGCCUGGGACCGCGUGAGAGAUCACGCUUUUCCCUUUCGGGGACUAGGACACAGUGCCUGCCAUGACUGGUCGUCAGGCUCGUGUCAUGAGAAAUGUUUGGGAUAAGUCCCGCAACCGAGCGCAAUCCAUCGCAAUAGCUGGCAUCAGUUCAGUUGGGGUACCUUAUGGAACUGCGAGUCUAAGCCGUAGUUAG
rnacentral:rRNA from 1 species